CAAUAGCGUAUAUUAAAGUUGUUGCAGUUAAAAAGCUCGUAGUUGGAUUUCGGGGCAGCCUGGCUGGUCCGCCGCAAGGCGAGUACUGGUCAGCCGCCCUUCCUCUCGAAAGCCCCGACUGCUCUUUAUUGCAGUGGUCGGGUAGUUCGGGACGUUUACUUUGAAAAAAUUAGAGUGUUCAAGGCAGGCCUACGCCUGAAUACAUUAGCAUGGAAUAAUGGAAGAGGACCUCGGUCCUAUUUUGUUGGUUUCCAGGACCGAAGUAAUGAUUAAGAGGGACAGUUGGGGGCGUUCGUAUUUAAUUGUCAGAGGUGAAAUUCUCGGAUUUAUGAAAGACGAACAACUGCGAAAGCAUUUGCCAAGGAUGUUUUCAUUAA
rnacentral:rRNA from 1 species